UUGGAGGGCAAGUCUGGUGCCAGCAGCCGCGGUAAUUCCAGCUCCAAUAGCGUAUAUUUAUGUUGUUACAGUUAAAAAGCUCGUAGUUGAACUUCAGGCCUGGCCGGGCGGUCUGCCUCGCGGUAUGUACUGUCUGGCUGGGCCUUACCUCUUGGUGAACCGGCAUGCCUUUCACUGGGUGCGUUGGGGAACCCGGACGUUUACCUUGAGAAAAUUAGAGUGUUCAAAGCAGGCCUAUGCCUGAAUACAUUAGCAUGGAAUAAUAAAAUAGGACGUGCGGUUCUAUUUUGUUGGUUUUUAGGAUCGCCGUAAUGAUUAAUAGGGACAGUUGGGGGCAUUAGUAUUCCGUUGCUAGAGGUGAAAUUCUUGGAUUAACGGAAGACUAACUACUGCGAAAGCAUUUGCCAAGGAUGUUUUCAUUAAUCAAGAACGAAGGUUAGGGGAUCGAAAACGAUUAGAUACCGUUGUAGUCUUAACAGUAAACUAUGCCGACUAGGGAUCGGACGACCUCAUUUUGAUGCGUCGUUCGGCGCCUUACGGAAACAA
rnacentral:rRNA from 1 species